rnacentral:sRNA from 1 species
GACCCCUACAUUCUACAAUAUCGAUAUUAAUUCGAAUCCCCUCUGAUAUAUUACCAUAUUAUCUUCUACAACUUAAUCCUUGCAGAGUCUUAAGAACUUCUUGUGAUAUAAGCAGCUGAUCCUCAUACCACUGCUUACAGUUUGAUCCACUCCAUCCCUUACCUCUUCAAGGAUUGAGUAUUCUAAUCAUCAUAUCCGAGGCCAAUCCACCCUCAAAUACUCCUCAAUCAGCAGUUGUUGAGCUAGCAGCACCUGCAAUAUCUGCCUCAGCUAAUCAGUGAGAAAUUUGGCUCACUGAUCCACCUGCCUAUUAUGGCAACAAUCUACAUAAAUACCAUAUAUUCAUAAGAGCUCUCGAACACAUAUAUAAGUUGAACCCAACUCAAUACAAUACCGAUGAAGUCAAGAUCAUUUAUGCUUCGGGAU